CCUACGGGUGGCAGCAGUGUGGAAUAUUGCACAAUGGGGGAAACCCUGAUGCAGCGACGCCGCAUGAGUGAAGAAGUAUUUCGGUAUGUAAAGCUCUAUCAGCAGGGAAGAAAAUGACGGUACCUGAUUAAGAAGCCCCGGCUAACUACGUGCCAGCAGCCGCGGUAAUACGUAGGGGGCAAGCGUUAUCCGGAUUUACUGGGUGUAAAGGGAGCGUAGACGGCAGCGCAAGUCUGAAGUGAAAUGCCGGGGCUUAACCCCGGAACUGCUUUGGAAACUGUGCAGCUAGAGUGCAGGAGAGGUAAGUGGAAUUCCUAGUGUAGCGGUGAAAUGCGUAGAGAUUAGGAAGAACACCAGUGGCGAAGGCGACUUACUGGACUGUAACUGACGCUGAGGCAUGAGAGCAUGGGGAGCAAACAGGAUUAGAUACCCGGGUAGUC
rnacentral:rRNA from 1 species